GACGAACGCUGGCGGCGUGCUUAACACAUGCAAGUCGAACGGAAAGGCCCUGCUUUUGUGGGGUGCUCGAGUGGCGAACGGGUGAGUAACACGUGAGUAACCUGCCCUUGACUUUGGGAUAACUUCAGGAAACUGGGGCUAAUACCGGAUAGGAGCUCCUGCUGCAUUGUGGGGGUUGGAACGUUUCGGCGGUUGGGGAUGGACUCGCGGCUUAUGAGCUUGUUGGUGGGGUAGUGGCUUACCAAGGCUUUGACGGAUAGCCGGCCUGUGAGGGUGACCGGCCACAUUGGGACUGAGAUACGGCGCAGACUCGUACGGGAGGCAGCAGUGGGGAGUAUUGCACAAUGGGCGGAAGCCUGAUGCAGCAACGCCGCGUGCGGGAUGACGGUCUUCGGGUUGUAAACCGCUUUCGCCUGUGACGAAGCGGGAGUGACGGUAAUGGGUAAAGAAGCACCGGCUAACUACGUG
rnacentral:rRNA from 1 species